GAGUUUUUACAGAUUUUCAAAUAAAACUCAGAGAUUCCUUGUAUGAUUCUCUCAAGUCUCUCUUUUGUGGUAUUUCUAGAUCCUUACCAAGGCAAUAAAGGUGUAUGCCUUCUCUCAAAGUAUGUGGUAUUUUUGGUAUGAGGCAUAGUGACAUUGCCUUCUCUCUCACCCUACUCUAAUAAGGCUUUUGAUAUCUGGAGCUCAUAGGUGGGAGACAGCUAAUACAUACUUACAAGACAUUUAUUACAUAGUCAAACCAUGGAUCCAGAAGAUCAAGUCAAUAAGUCAAAUCAAGAUAUGCAUGUGUGGUGAAUGAAUGGUGUAUGGUGAUGAUGGUGAUAACAAUAGUGAAAGUCUAAUUCUACUUGUGCUCUUUUGAGGGGUUACAUACCUUUCUUGCUCUUUGAAGCUUUUUGAGAUGCUCUAUAUUUUCUUUUUUCUUUUCUCUCAGGUGGGUAUCUUGUACCCGUAAUUCUACUGUCGGACACUUGUCCAUUUUUACCUCUCGCCUCACUUUUUCUUUUCUUUCAAGGUUCCGGGCACUUGCCCCUUUUUAUUCCCUCGUUUUUUUAGAGCACUCAUCUCUUGAAAUAAUAUAGCAAGUGGUAGUAACCAAGAUAAGUUGAGCAUUUAUUCCACAGGGAAUAAUAGGAACAGGAUAAUGUUUUUGGCUAUUCUCUCCCGGAUUAGGAGUAGAAUACUUUUGGGUGAAUCUGGAGAUGGAAAUGAGUGGAUAUAUGUGGAUGCGUACUUCCGGGGUAGAAGCAACAUGUGUGAGUGAACGUGCAAGUGAAUCUUGAUUUUAACCACAUGACAAGCUCUUAAGGGUCUACACAGCUUGACCACACUCAAUGCUCAUAAGCAGUAAAAAAAUAAAUAUGUGGCUCAAAGUUUAGCAAGCAUGUAUAUAUGGCUGUGGUAGGAAUUUAAACUCUCAUCAUACAGGAACUCAUCAUGUGCUAUUUUAAAGAUAUUCAAAGAUAAAAUUCUCCAGAAUUCUAGCAUCUCUAGGAACAGAUAAACAGUAGCUCAACCUUCCCAUAUUGUAUCCGUUAACGACUUAGACUUUAGAUCAAGUACUCUCCCCACAAGUUCAGGUUUAGAGCAAAUCUUAAUUAAUAACAGUCAUGCCUAAACUUGAGAGAGAUUUCAAUUUUGAGAACUAAUCAUGGCAGAGCAACUAUUCAUCAUUUCCAUGUGAGAGCUUAUUAUGAGGGUUCAUAGCAAACUUUAUUUACUUAUUUAUUUAGCAAACUAAGCAAAGAUAUAUAUAUAAGCACAAAAUCUUUAUUUGAGUUUUUAUGAUUAUGUAUCUUUUUAUUAUUAGAGUAAAGUAUAAAUGUGAGUAGAACACUUAGCUGGAUAAAUGGGAGUGCUCUUCCCCAAGCUGAAUUUUGACGUAAUUUCUCCUGAUGUAGCUAGCAGGUGGCGGAGGUAUAUUUGAAUGUCGGCAGCACCCUGACAGCGAUUAGGGUGUCCUCAGUCUGCUCGUCUUCUUUGAUCCUUGAAUUCUGUGGAGCUCAAAUAGACAACAAAGCUUUGUGGAACUAGUUAAGUGUUAGCAUAAAUAUCUAGCCUUUAUCAUAUUGAGCCUCCUCAAUAAAUGUUACUCUCUUUGGUGGGAUCACAAUCUUAUUUUUAUAUUUUCAUUUUUAUAAGACAGGAAUAUGUACUUAUGGGUUUUAUGCCAUGAGCAUACUCACAUGGGGCUUACUAUUUUUAACAUUUUAUUUUCUUUUUAAGAUGAUAUGGACCUGAUUAACUAAGCAAACUAUUUUAAAAUAAUUGAAAGGAAAAAGAGAACUACCAAGUUUACCUCUUGGUAAGGCGUUCAGUGUUUUUAAGUCCUCCGAACAGGACUCUCCAUUUUCUCAGUCGUCCUGGGAUUCGCUGGAUGGCGUAGUCGGUGGUUCCAGCAGCGCCUCCUCUUCGUGUAUAACUAUCUUCUCUUUCCACACCUGACUCGGUGGUCGGUGCUACGGUCUCCUCAGGACAGUUCUGUUCAAGCUGUAUGUCUUCAGACCUUACCACUUCUCCUUCGUAGUCUGCCCAUCCGUCCUUGAUGAUUUGCCUCCUCUAGUUGUGGUUGCGUCGUCUUCUUCUUGUCCUGUCCUGCUUAGAGUCUUCAACUAUAUGGUUAGGGUCAGUAAAAUAGCAGCGUACCUUCUCAGAGGGGAAAUGCAUGUGGACUCCGCCGGUUCCAAUGUAGAUGAUUGCUUUAACGGUGCUGAGGAACAGUCUCCCAAUGGUGAUGGGUGGAUUGUACUCAUCUUCUCUCAUGUCAAUAACCUUAAAAUCAUCUGGAGCUGAAUGUAUGUUGGUUGUAGGGGCAUGGUUCCAUGCAGGAGCUGAUAAGUGACUGCGGCCAUUAUGUUGACGUCAGAUCCGGUGUCGUAGAGUGUCUUCUGAGAAGAAUAUCCGUUGAUUGUGC
rnacentral:lncRNA from 1 species